AUUGAACGCUGGCGGCAUGCUUUACACAUGCAAGUCGAACGGCAGCGCGGGCUUCGGCCUGGCGGCGAGUGGCGAACGGGUGAGUAAUACAUCGGAACGUGCCCAGUAGUGGGGGAUAGCUCGGCGAAAGCCGGAUUAAUACCGCAUACGACCUGAGGGUGAAAGCGGGGGAUCUUCGGACCUCGCGCUAUUGGAGCGGCCGAUGGCAGAUUUGCUAGUUGGUGGGGUAAAGGCCUACCAAGGCGACGAUCUGUAGCUGGUCUGAGAGGACGACCAGCCACACUGGGACUGAGACACGGCCCAGACUCCUACGGGAGGCAGCAGUGGGGAAUUUUGGACAAAGGGCGAAAGCCUGAUCCAGCAAUGCCGCGUGUGUGAUGAAGGCCUUCGGGUUGUAAAGCACUUUUGGCGGGAACGAAAAGGACUGUGCCAAUACCACGGUUCGAUGACGGUACCCGCAGAAUAAGCACCGGCUAACUACGUG
rnacentral:rRNA from 1 species